UGGUAACGUCGUUGAGAACGUCAGUCAGCGUGUAUUCCUCCAGCACAAACUAGAAUCCAACACACACAACCAUCAGUUUGAAACCGCACGGUGUGCUGCGGUGUGCUUAUGGACAUAAAAGAAAAAGCUAUAGACAGAAGUUCAAAAGCCAAUUCAACCUUAUCUAUGGUGUAAGCGUCUGCCCCCUGCUCUUUCAGCCAAUCGGUGAGCUGCUUGUCCGGCUCGUGGUCCGCUGGGAUAUGGAAGAUGGAGGGAGCUCCAGGUCGUGUGUUCUCUGCUGCAGUGUGGCCUUCAGGACCUGCUGAAGUGCAGCCAGCUGACGACCACAGUCUGCCUCCACGCUCAAGUUCCUGGAACCGCCUCUCUGAAAUUGUGUUGUAUUUAGUGUGUGGUCCUGCGUCUUGACUGAAUCAU